CACACACAAACAAAGAGGCGUUAGGCUGAGACGCUGAAAGUCCGGAUUUAAAGUGCAGAAAAUUAAGCCAUUGAAUCUGCCUGUCCAUGACGUACAAAGACACACUAUGAGCCAGUAUGAUCCGACCAGACCUUACAUCAGCAUUGACGAGUUGUCGGAGAAGAAAGAGGCUGAUUGAAGCGGGACAGAUGACAUGGAUCCAUCCUUCCACAGCCAGGAGCGCACCGACCUGUGUCCCACACUUCAUAUAAGACUGGAAGCUACACUGAUCUCACAGCUACACACCACAGACGUCUACACACUGGAGAAGAUUCAGACAGAGUCCCACAAAGAAGUCAUGACCCAGAGGCUGCAGAGAAACAUUUCAAGCCUCAUCUGAGUUUUUGUACAAUAUUUUUGCUGUAUGUAAAUAAAGCUUUCACUCCACAUA